UACGACUACAUAUCAGGCAUAUCAAUAAGCGGAGGAAAAGAAACUAACAAGGAUUCCCCUAGUAACGGCGAGUGAAGCGGGAAGAGCUCAAAUUUGAAAUCUUAAAGGGUUUCCCUUUACGAAUUGUAGUUUAAAGAAGUGUUUUCUGUUGGAGUUUCGGUAAAAGUUCUUUGGAAUAGGACAUCAUAGAGGGUGAGAAUCCCGUAUUUGACCGUUACUUUCCAGCUGUGUGAUACACUUUCAAAGAGUCGGAUUGUUUGGGAAUGCAGUCCAAAAUGGGUGGUAAAUUUCAUCUAAAGCUAAAUAUUGGCGAGAGACCGAUAGCGAACAAGUACCGUGAGGGAAAGAUGAAAAGAACUUUGAAAAGAGAGUUAAACAGUACGUGAAAUUGUCAAAAGGGAAGCGUUUGACACCAGUGUUGUUUUCUCGAAAAUCAAUUAAAAAGUAUGGGAUUUUGUAUUGUUAAGACCUUAUCAGCUUACGGUACUUUUUUCUUAUUCUUUUUAAUGCACUUUUCGUUUAACAAGUCAACAUCAAUUUCUUUUGUUGUAAAAGAGUCAUUGGAGGGUGGCUUUCACUUCGGUGAAAGGUGUUUAUAGCCCUAUAGGCUUCUAGCAAUCGGAGAGAUUGAGGUCUGCAGCGUAGAUCCUUCGGGGUUAGAUACAUUUGUGCUAAGUUAUAGCCUUUCAUAGACAACUUGUUGACUAUGAUCAGUCAUGUAGCUUACUCGCUUAUGUUAUUUUACCUACGCUUAGGAUGUUGACGCGCGUGUGUGCGUG
rnacentral:rRNA from 1 species